CUUGUCUGGUUUCUCUUUAGAUCAUAUAAAUCUUUCACCUUUUACUAAAAAUUUCUGUGGAAUGGAACAGUUAUGAAUAUAUAACCAUAUAUAACCAUUUUUGAGGACUCCAAGAGG